rnacentral:rRNA from 1 species
CCUACGGGUGGCAGCAGUGAGGAAUAUUGGUCAAUGGGCGCGAGCCUGAACCAGCCAAGUAGCGUGAAGGAUGACUGCCCUACGUGUUGUAAACUUCUUUUAUAAAGGAAUAAAGUGAGGCACGUGUGCCUUUUUGUAUGUACUUUAUGAAUAAGGAUCGGCUAACUCCGUGCCAGCAGCCGCGGUAAUACGGAGGAUCCGAGCGUUAUCCGGAUUUAUUGGGUUUAAAGGGUGCGUAGGUGGGCUGGUAAGUCAGCUGUGAAAGCCCGCGGCUCAACCGCAGGAGAGCAUUUGAUACUGGCAGUCUUGAGUAGGCGAGAAGUACGCGGAAUGCGCGGUGUAGCGGUGAAAUGCUUAGAUAUCGCGCAGAACCCCGAUUGCGAAGGCAGCGUAC